UACGGAGGGUGCAAACGUUGCUCGGAAUCAUUGGGCGUAAAGCGCACGUAGGCGGACUGUUAAGUCGGAUGUGAAAUCCCUCAGCUUAACUGAGGAAGUGCACUCAAACUGGCAGUCUUGAGUAUGGAAGAGGGUCGCGGAAUUCCCGGUGUAGAGGUGAAAUUCGUAGAUAUCGGGAGGAACACCAGUGGCGAAGGCGGCGCCUGGGCCAAUACUGACGCUGAGGUGCGAAAAGCGUGGGGGAGCAAACAGGG
rnacentral:rRNA from 1 species